ensembl:lincRNA Gm14055 predicted gene 14055
AGUUUCCCAGUUCUGCUGGGAGGCCUCCUAGGUGGGACUCAGCUGCCCUGGCUAUCUAAGGCAUGCAGCUUCAGGUGAACACACUAGAAAGUUCCUUUUCAGUUUUAUUUGUUUUGUUUGCUCUGUGUUCCCCCAAACAAGCCAGAAAUGAGUCAUCCAUUCAUUCACUGGUGCAUUCAUUCAUUUGGAAAGUCUUCACUGACUGAGCUUACCACAUACUGUACUUGGCUUAGGGCUGAGAGGAUACAAUCAAGAUCCAGACUGACAGUGCUCCUCUCUUCAUUGGUCGAGGCUGACCACCGCACUUGACUUUGAAGCAAGCAACAAGGAUAGCUCUUGAAUAUCUGCCCAGGGUGAUCUGACUUGCAGGAAUAUGGAACAGAUUAGAAGACUCGGAAGCUGUGAUUGCUGCAGGUCAUGCGGAGAAGGUGUGCCCAAGCCAGACACCUCAUCACUUCCUGCUUCAUAUAACACCAUUGUGCCUUGAGUUGAAGCCAAAGGCAAGUGGACUGUGGCUCCAGACAAAGGAACUGCCUACUCUGGUGGUUGAAUUGGAUGUAGACUAGAGGGAGAUCAAAGCCAAGCCUGGAGAAAAUGACACUCUCCAGACAAGAGAUGCACACCGAGUGAAGACAUAGAUGUUUUCCAGCAGUGUUUCUCAGACUGCA